rnacentral:lncRNA from 1 species
GUGAACUUUGUGUUGCUGUUUAUUUCCCUUUUCAGCUUUUUUAAGUUCAUCAUACUUUGAUGAAAUUUGGUGCGCAUACAUGGGUCUUGAGAGGAAAAAUGCAGCAUCAUGAGGCGUGUGAAACUCAUUACAAAGAACGUCAAUUGAAGGCACUCGCUUAAUGUAAUCCUCUGUGCUCAGAUUGGAUGCCAAAAACCCACCAAACUGUACCAAGGUAUCAUGGCAUUGAUCAUACAGUUUUCCCACCAGCUUCAGAUGUUUUUCCCCACCUUCCUGAAAGAUCACACCAUUUCUCUGUUGAGCCAUAAGCAGGCAGAGUGGAAGGGCAAGAUCAUGGUCCAAUAAUGCAUCCUUCAAUCUCUGAGAAGACUUCUUUGUAUUCCUAAUUUGGCCAAAGUAUCCACCCUCAGCUUUUAGUUGUUCUCCACCAGUCAUGGCUUCCAACUGUUCCAUUGUCAUCUCUUCUGUAAUUUCUAUCCCUGCCAUUUUUUGCACUACCUCUU